rnacentral:ncRNA from 1 species
GUAUCUACUUUGAAGAAAAGGUUUUAUUAAGCGAAUUUAAAGAGAGUUAGUGGUUGGUGUAAACUAAUAAUUUGAUAAUAAAAUGUAGUUUCUGAGUAUUAUUACUGAGUUAAGUAAGUAAUAACGUUAUCUGCGUUAAAGAAUAAAGUGCAUAGAAUCUAUGAACUAAGGUGGUACCGUUCUUAUGAACCCUUAGA